rnacentral:rRNA from 1 species
UACAGAGGGUGCGAGCGUUAAUCGGAAUUACUGGGCGUAAAGGGCGCGUAGGCGGUUAUAUGAGUGUGAUGGGAAAGCCCCGGGCUUAACCUGGGAAGUGCAUCGCAAACGAUAUAACUGGAGUAGAUGAGAGGGUGGCGGAAUUUCCGGUGUAGCGGUGAAAUGCGUAGAGAUCGGAAGGAACGUCAAUGGCGAAGGCAGCCACCUGGCAUCAUACUGACGCUGAGGCGCGAAAGCGUGGGGAGCGAACAGG